rfam:Anopheles melas strain CM1001059_A cont2.14074, whole genome shotgun sequence.
AUGCUAUGAUGAAACAUUUUGGUCCGUGUUUAUGAAAUUCUAUGAUUAUUCAAGAACUUAUUUUUCUGAUCAA